UGGCUCAGGACGAACGCUGGCGGCAUGCCUAAUACAUGCAAGUCGAGCGAAUGAUGAAGAAGCUUGCUCUUCUGAUUAGCGGCGGACGGGUGAGUAACACGUGGGCAACCUACCCUAUAGAUUGGGAUAACACAGGGAAACCUGUGCUAAUACCGAAUAACACCUUUCUCUUCAUGGAGGAUGGUUGAAAGAUGGUUUCGGCUAUCACUAUAGGAUGGGCCCGCGGCGCAUUAGCUAGUUGGUGAGGUAAUGGCUCACCAAGGCAACGAUGCGUAGCCGACCUGAGAGGGUGAUCGGCCACACUGGGACUGAGACACGGCCCAGACUCCUACGGGAGGCAGCAGUAGGGAAUCUUCCACAAUGGGCGAAAGCCUGAUGGAGCAAUGCCCGCGUGAGUGAAGAAGGAUUUCGGUUCGUAAAACUCUGUUGUAAGGGAAGAACAAGUAGCGUAGUAACUGGCGUUACCUUGACGGUACCUUAUUAGAAAGCCACGGCUAACUACGUGCCAGCCGCUGC
rnacentral:rRNA from 1 species